CAUCUCAGCUCACUCUUUCAGCCACAUAAAAUCCCCAUUUUCUCUCUCCACCUCUCGUUUGCUUCCCUGAAACCCAAAAUCCCUAGAAUAUCUCAAUUCGGAAAUUUUGUUCAGAUGCAGUCCCCGGAACCGUGAAAUCAGUUGGAAUAACACCAUUAUUGAAAUCAGAGGACUGAAAAGGAGCGUGAGACUGGCCUGUGAAAUCAGUCCUCUGAAUUCGUGUCUAUCUCUUAGAAGCCAAUCUUUUCUUCUCUCAUCUCCCCUCUCUCUUCCGCUCCCUCACUUCUCCCCCACUCCCCACCACCGAUUCUCCCCACCCAUCAUCUCCGCUGUCCAAUUCCGCCACCCUCACGCCCUCCCCACCGUCCAAUUUGAGGGGGACGAAUGUUGAAAAGGUUUUGUUGUGAGUUGUGACUUAGGAGUGAGUGGAUUGAGUUUUGAGGGAGUGAGCGAAUUGCAAAUAAUGUUUAGUGGUGGUGGCUCUCGUGUCUCGAAUCACCUACGGCUGCGAGAUCGCGACCUCCGCCGCCGCCGCCACCAACCCCAACUUGGUUUUGGGUUCGUCUUUGGCUUUGGAUUGGGUACUCGAAUCGCUGGGCUACUGAUUGAAUGCAUUGAUUGAUUUCAGGCAGCGUAAACUUCACCAAGAGUGCCGGAACAUCGAACGCCAAAUUUGAAAUAUACAAAGAGAAGAGAAAAGUCUGCAAAAAGCAAUAAAAGAUGCUAUCAGCCUACUUGCCUCAUGAAAACCAAAAGAUACAUUCACAUGAGCAUUGUUUUCCCUUAUUGGUUUCAAUGAGACUGGAUUUAUAAUGUUCAUAUUAGACUUCAUGAUGUAUUUUUUGGUUAAAUUCAACCAAAUUGAAAUAAGUAGUAAAUAUCGAGCUAUCAUGAUAGUGUAAAUUUCAUAUGAGAAAGCAAGUUAACCGAAUAAAGGCAUUCUUUUUCCUAUACUUGAUGAAGGUUUAAUAUGUCUAUCUAUUUAGAACAUAUUCAUGAAGGUUUAGUAUCUUUAUCUACGUAGAAUAUAUUUCAAUCAUGAACUGUCAUAAUGAAAUGUGGUUUGGAACUAAUGUUCUAGAUUUCCAUACUUGAAGCUAUAACAUGUUGAGUUCUGACUGAGAAUAGGGCAUAAACUGUUGAGUUCUGAUAAGCCUGCGUAUAGUGGCAUGUGUGGAUGUCAUUAUUACAUGUUUACCUCAUUUAGCACCAGACGAUUUGAUCAUUCUGGAAAAUUCUGUCCAAUAAUCAUUUUGUUAAUGGAUUGUGCUCAAUGAGACAUAAUACAUUUCUUUGAAACAGCUCAUGCUUUUCAAGCUUGCGAUUUUAUGCUUUUUAAACGUUGUUAACUAACUCUGGUUUUUUUUUGGGGCAGGCAUUUACAAUUGCAAUUUGUAGUGACCUGGUUUGUGUCAACCAACCCAAUUUUGUGCUUCCACGAGAAAAUAUAUAAGGAAAGAGGUCUUUGCCUCUUUGGGAGAAAGCAGAAAGAAUUUAGAUUUUGGUGGAGUGCAGUACUUUCUAAUUAUGGCGCUGGAGUUGAUAGCAGGAUCAGUAUUUACAGUGCUGUAUGACCGUGUUUCAGGAGCUGUGGACAGGAAAUCAGAGUUCAGAUACCUCCUCACACAUAUGAAACGCACCCUAGACUCUUUAACAGGACAGGCCAGAUUCAUUCGAGAGAUACGGGAGUUUAAUGAUGAACUGAGUCUCCCCAACCAUGACAUAGCUGAUCUUGAAACACAAAUGAUUGAAGGCACACAACUCGUUGGGAGGAUGUCCAGUUUUCGUAUGUACAACUAUUGCUGCAUGGAUGGUUGCCACAACCAACUUUAUGAAUUGAAUAGGUCUCUUGAUAGACUUUUAGACAAUUGUCAAGGCAAAACCGUGACGACCUUGAUGAAAUGAAGGGUAUGUUGAAGAUGAUACUGCAGCAGAUCAAUGAUCCUGAAAUGAAGGGUCUAGUGAAGAAGUUACUGGAGCAUAAUGCAGGGGACUUCACGGAGACCUCGACCUCGGCUUCUGGAAGUAAUACAGAAAGAGAAGGGAAUGAUGAAGCACAAGUGGAAUCAUUAGAAGGACUAUUAGGAGCAGCAGCAUUUCAGGUUCUGUUUGAUUUCAUUAUAGUGGCAGAUAUAUAAGGAAGCUGAGAAGUCUGCUUAUUAGAAUGGAGCAAAGGUGGCUGUUGUUUAUGGUGGAGCGCCAAUGGGUCAGCAGGUUUGUGUCUCUGCAGGCUCACUGGCCAUUCCGUUUUCUAUGACCACUUCUAUGAUUCGGGUGAUUCCAUUCAUGAUCAGAUUGUGAAACUGGUACAGCAGUACACCUAGCUAGUUCCUUUAUUAACUUGUGUCUAGUAGAAAUUUUUCAUUCAUUAAGCAUUUGGACUUGUCUGCAGAUCCAGAUUAGUAGAUAUGGGUUAUUUUGAACUGAUGUUCAUGAUUAGGUUUGUGUACAUGAGACAAUAGUGGAUUAAUGGAAAUUGCAAUGAAUGAUUUUGGA